CGCACUAGUGAUUAGAGUUUGAUCAUGGCUCAGAGCGAACGCUGGCGUUAGGCUUAACACAUGCAAGUCGAGCGGGCGUAGCAAUACGUCAGCGGCAGACGGGUGAGUAACGCGUGGGAACGUACCUUUUGGUUCGGAACAACACAGGGAAACUUGUGCUUAUACCGGAUAAGCCCUUACGGGGAAAGAUUUAUCGCCGAAAGAUCGGCCCGCGUCUGAUUAGCUAGUUGGUGAGGUAACGGCUCACCAAGGCGACGAUCAGUAGCUGGUCUGAGAGGAUGAUCAGCCACAUUGGGACUGAGACACGGCCCAAACUCCUACGGGAGGCAGCAGUGGGGAAUAUUGGACAAUGGGCGCAAGCCUGAUCCAGCCAUGCCGCGUGAGUGAUGAAGGCCCUAGGGUUGUAAAGCUCUUUUGUGCGGAAAGAUAAUGACGGUACCGCAAGAAUAAGCCCCGGCUAACUUCGUGCCAGCAGCCGCGGUA
rnacentral:rRNA from 1 species